rnacentral:rRNA from 1 species
AAUCCAUAGGUUAAUGAGGCGAACCGGGGGAACUGAAACAUCUAAGUACCCCGAGGAAAAGAAAUCAACCGAGAUUCCCCCAGUAGCGGCGAGCGAACGGGGAGGAGCCCAGAGCCUGAAUCAGCAUGUGUGUUAGUGGAAGCGUCUGGAAAGGCGCGCGAUACAGGGUGACAGCCCCGUACACAAAAGCGCACGUGCUGUGAGCUCGAUGAGUAGGGCGGGACACGUGGUAUCCUGUCUGAAUAUGGGGGGACCAUCCUCCAAGGCUAAAUACUCCUGACUGACCGAUAGUGAACCAGUACCGUGAGGGAAAGGCGAAAAGAACCCCGGCGAGGGGAGUGAAAAAGAACCUGAAACCGU